GGAAAGAUGAGGAAUGCUCUGGAAAAGUCAGCUUGAGACCGGUGAUCAAUGGACCCAGAGAAUGAAGAUAACCUCCUUCCCUACAGUUCUAAUCAAGCACGUCAGAAGAUGAAGAUCAAGUGUUUGGAUUAAAACAGCAAACCCUAACGUUCAAGAAAGAGGGACAAAAUUCCUGAGAUUGAAGAACAUGACGAUAUCUAUAAAUAGAGGUGGGUCUGAGCAGCGGUUAUUUAGACCCGGAAGCAGCAGCGCAUUACCCAGCAGAAUCCAACGGGUCGGUUAUCACUGCCACUCUCUGGGUCAAGUCAACCUCAUCUUCGCCUUUGUGAGAAAACUACAAUGAGAAGACAGAUACAAGAAUUGCUGAUUAUGCAUAUUCUAAAAAUAUUUCAAUGUCCACCUAAAGAAGAUAAAGACUAUAGAUCAGAGUGCUGAAACAGUCGUUUAUAAGCAAGCCCAGCUGUUCUGAAAAACUCUUACCACAAAACAUAUAUAGAAAAUAUAUAUAAGCCUACUGUAAUGUUAUCUGUAAAAAGUGUUUAAAUUAUACAACUAUUUAGAAUUAGCAUUAUUUCAGCAAAUAUUGAUUGAUUAGUUGGUGAUUAUUAAUGGUUAUUAAAUUAAAUGAAAGUCAUGACUGUGAUCUGCUGUAUAGUUUGAGGUUUUGACAUCUCAGAAAGGUUUAGUGUUUCAUAUAAACGUCUGCGUCUCACUGUACAGCUCAUACAGACAAAUAAAAACCACAAGAUAGUUUCACUUCACCAUUACAUCUGUUAACUUUACCAGAUCACUU